CAAGCUGUAAUAUAAAUAAACAUGUUGACUAGUGUAAAUAGAAUAUGCUUUACUUUUGUCCGUUGUAAGCAUAAAUUAGAUUACUCCAAAGUACCCAAGUUAGUUGAUAGUGAAUUGCUGGAACAGCAUGUCCGAGGGAGUGGACCAGGGGGACAAGCAACCAACAAAACAUCCAAUUGUGUUGUUCUGAAACAUCUACCAACUGGGAUUGUCAUCAAAUGCCACGAGAGUAGAUCUUUGGAUCAGAACAGGAAGAAAGCAAGAUCACUAUUAGUCACAAAAUUAGAUAAUUUAAUAAAUAAAGAGAAUAGUGUGGAGGCCCAGGCGAAGCUGCUCGAUAACAAAAAGACUACGGAGAUGGAGCGUAAGAGGCAGAAGCGCCAGGCACUCAAAAACGAAUGGAAAACGCGAGAAAACUUAAUAGAUUAAAUUAAAAAAAUAUUCAACAAUAAAUGGUUUCUUGUGUAGAUGAGAGGAAGUAAAGCUUUCGUCGUCUUCGAAACCUCGAACCAACUCAUCCAAAGCGCCUUCUUGCGUCAACGAGGUGUUUGCAACUGACUUCUUCAUCACCUCCACCACUUCAUCGUAAUCUCCUCUGGACACGCAUUCUUAAUAGGCGUUAUCGAAGUCAUAUCUGCAAGAAGAAACAAAAACUGAGUUUAUUUACUGG